GCCUGCCGGGCCUUCAGCAAACACGAUGCGCCAAGCACUGAACCGCCCACUGUGUAGGCAUUGUUUCCCAAGAUCUUCCCAACGAUGCCCAUCACAUUUUGAUAAGGCUCCACGGCUGAAGCUGAAGUGAUUCACCAAAAUCACAGACACAGCAACACACGCACACAUCCCAGCGCUCAAAUCCAGGCCUUUGUCUCCAGAACAUAAAUGCCAAGAGGACAGACAGGGCCUGUGCCUGUCUUGCCCCACAGCAUCCUCGGGGGCUAAUAAUAACAAAUAUUUGUUGA
rnacentral:lncRNA from 13 species